AUGGCCCACGGCGAUCAUCAAAACGAUGAUGAUGAUUUCAUGGAUCCACCACAGCAGAAUCGGGCAACUGGACGGAGAAAAGAUGGCGAUGACAAGAAGAAACGUACUCGCAACAGGGCCUCGCAGGAACGACUGACCUCAUUGACUAGAAGAUUUACCGAUGAUCAGAAGGGAGCUGCUGCUGAGAUGGGUAUGCAGGCUCUGAUGAAUGUCCAGUGCACGAAUCUAGUCAACCCUGUAUGCGACUGGCUUGGUGAGAUUUACCACCCCGCCUCUAGUGAAUUUGUGAUUCCGGGACGUGGAAGACUGCCGCUGAACGAGGAAUUCGUGUUCUGCAUUUUGGGUGUGCCUCGUGGAGAAAUCAAAGUCCCGUAUGAGGCCAUGACAACCCAUGGCGAGGUUUUUAAGAUUAAACUACUCAUGUACCUCAUCUCAACUGUUUUCAUGCUAACCACUUCUCUUCGCCCAAGCAACAAAUUCUUCCCCAUCCUGGCGAAACUAAAAGAUGUGAAGAACAUGAAUUGGUGUAAGUUCAUUGCCGACUUCCUGCAUGAUGCAUUCUCAAGCAAGAUGUACCAGAAGGGUUGUCGACUGCAUUUAAUGCUUAUGUACGUCAUCUUUCUUGAUCUGUCCAUCGUGGAUUUCACUUGGACAAGAGGCCCGCUGCCUAUGCACAAGUUUGCUAUUUUUGCGUGGACUUGCGAUGCUGUCAAGGCUGUGCUUGCUGCAGACAGGCUAAUGGCCAAGCAUGCUAUAGACUACAGCGUGUUUGGGGGGCCUCAAAACUUUGGAAAGUGGAUGGACAUGCACUCAGCUCCGUCUUACCCUACUGAGGCGAGGGCACCUGUUGAGCAUCUAAUUCGGCAGUUUGCAUCCGAAAUGACUGGCUUGCUCGGGAAGUUGGUUGAGGGGUGGACGUCCCUUAGUGGCUUUGAAAGCGACGCGGUUGCGAGGCAUUUCACUACAUUUGUCCCAGAACGGACACAUCGGCCAACUAGUUGUCGUGGACGGUAUGACUACAACAGAUCCCAAGAGCUUGCUGACACACAAGAUGAACUAGAUGGAAACGCUGGUCUCAACAAGGAUGACGAUGAUGACAUGGAGAACAUGCAACACGACACCGAUGAUGAUGAACAUGUUGAAGUUCGUGCAGGUGGUAAGAAGGGCAAGGAUGUACCAGAUGUCCCCCCACCGGAGAAAGUCAAAGAACAUACGGCUACGAGAGGCGAGGGGGUGUUGCCAUCAAAGAGGGGGAGGGCUCCAGAGGAUGUUGCGCAGGGUUCUCCUGGCAAGAGGCUAGAACAACAGGCAUCCGUACAUCGGGAAGUGACGAGUCGGUAUCUGCCAGGACAGCUGAAAUAUUGCCCACUCUUCUGGCAAUCAAGAAUGCUGAUGUGA
rnacentral:rRNA from 1 species